GGGCAGGACAUGAUUCAGAGAACCCACCCACCCAUAUAGGGUGGGGAAUGAGAUGGUGGUCGAAACACUGAAGAAAGGAAGAGCUCAAGUUGAUUUCGUAUACGGCCCACCUACUACCGUCGUUGCAGUAACCAGAACAGCUGUGCUGACUGAACAAUCUCCAAUUUGAAUCCACGCCACCCGAGUGAAGCUUGU